rnacentral:rRNA from 1 species
AUGGAAGAAAAGUUGUCUAGUAUGCGACAAGAUGUCAUUCAGGAAUUUGUGGCGCUUUAUCAAAGAAUAGGGCCUUAUCUACUGAUCGAGCCCUACUUGGUCGAUGAAGCGCUUCGUUCCUAUCUGGACCAUAUUCACGCAACUGAUUCUUUCACUAUUCUCCAAGCGUCUUAUCAAGAUCUGCGGGAGAAUGAGGGAGGAUCUGUUUUCUUUAGAGAUGCUGUUUCCCACAACCGGGAUCUCCUUGAGGCGGAAAGCUCCGCAAGGAGGUGCCUGGAAGUGGAACAGAGGAUCCGAUGGGAAGAAAUCCCCAAGAGCAAGGCAAGUCUCGAAAGAGCUGAGCAUGAGCAUGCUCUCGACUUGUUUAAGUCGGAGGAUCUUAGAAGGGAAUUAGAAAAGAAAAGAGCGGGGUAG